GGAUAUUCCCCUGCGGUAGGAGCAGGGCCUCAAAGAACCUCCCGGCAGCUUCUAGAAGGAGGGUCCUCCUUGCAGCUGAAGUGGUGUAUUGGGGCUUUAUCUGCAUUAACAUCUGUGUAACAAUGUCAGAACCCUGGAACUGGAGUUACAGACAGUUGGCUGCAAAAACAUCUUGUAUAUGGAGAAGAGCCAUCCUCAAAAGGAGCCACCAUCCACGGAGCUGGUGGCCCAGAUGAAAAGCCGAGCCCAAUAUGUGGAAGCUUACGUUCAUCGGAGCAGUGGAUUGUCUUGGGCCAGACAUUUGUAUGGCUGCUGUUGUUGCCUCUAGAUUCCUCAGCCUCUAGAUAGACACACCAAUGCCGUAUGGAAGUUCUCACACCUUCUGCUCCAGACUGGAGCCACAUCUCUGUCCCCCGGCUUUAAAGUACCCAGAUUCUUAUACAGUGUAGCUCCAGGGCAUCCCUGGCUCUCCAGAUUACAGGUGAUUAACAUCUGAGUCACCCCAAUUAAUUCUCCCUUACAAUUAUUUAUACACUCAA